rnacentral:rRNA from 1 species
CAGUCGCCGCGGUAAUGCGUAGGUGGCAAGCGUUGUCCGGAAUUAUUGGGCGUAAAGGGCUCGCAGGCGGUUUCUUAAGUCUGAUGUGAAAGCCCCCGGCUCAACCGGGGAGGGUCAUUGGAAACUGGGAAACUUGAGUGCAGAAGAGGAGAGUGGAAUUCCACGUGUAGCGGUGAAAUGCGUAGAGAUGUGGAGGAACACCAGUGGCGAAGGCGACACUCUGGUCUGUAACUGACGCUGAGGAGCGAAAGCGUGGGGAGCGAACAGGAUUAGAUACCCGUGUAGUCCCUGUCUCUUAUAC